rnacentral:rRNA from 1 species
UGGGGAAUAUUGGGCAAUGGGGGAAACCCUGACCCAGCAACGCCGCGUGAAGGAAGAAGGCCUUCGGGUUGUAAACUUCUUUGACACGGGAAGAAACAAAUGACGGUACCGUGAAAACAAGCCACGGCUAACUACGUGCCAGCAGCCGCGGUAAUACGUAGGUGGCGAGCGUUGUCCGGAUUUACUGGGUGUAAAGGGCGUGUAGGCGGGAUUGCAAGUCAGAUGUGAAAUCCACAGGCUUAACCUGUGGACUGCAUUUGAAACUGCAAUUCUUGAGUGAUGGAGAGGCAGGCGGAAUUCCCGGUGUAGCGGUGGAAUGCGUAGAUAUCGGGAGGAACACCAGUGGCGAAGGCGGUCUGCUGGACAUUAACUGACGCUGAGGCGCGAAAGCGUGGGGAGCAAACA